GAAGUACUCCCUCCGUUCGGAAUUACUUGUCACAGAAAUGAAUGUACCUAGAUGUAUUUUAGUUUAGAUACAUCCAUAUUCGAGACAAGUAAUUCCGAACGGAGAGAGUAGCAC
rnacentral:pre_miRNA from 1 species